rnacentral:rRNA from 1 species
CUUUCAUCACUACAAACCACUUUAAAGUCUUUUGUAUUUGUUGGUUAACUAUAAUGUUAAAUACAACUUUCAACAACGGAUCUCUUGGCUCUCGCAUCGAUGAAGAACGCAGCGAAAUGCGAUAAGUAAUGUGAAUUGCAGAAUUCAGUGAAUCAUC